rnacentral:rRNA from 1 species
UACGUAGAAGACUAGUGUUAUUCAUCUUUAAUAGGUUUAAAGGGUACCUAGACGGAAAAUCAAGCCUUAAUAGGAACUAAUUUUCUAGAGUUUUAUGAGAGAAGGGGGAAUUACCAGAGGAGAAGUCAAAAUUUUAUUAUACUGGUAGGACGGAUAACGGCGAAGGCAUCCUUCUAGUGUAAAAACUGACGUUGAGGGACGAAGCCUU